ensembl:misc_RNA 7SK 7SK RNA
GGAUGUGCGGGUAAUCUGGCUAGCUAGGCGGGUGUCGCCUUCCUCCCUCACCACUCCAUGUGCGUCCCUCCUGAAGCUGUGCGUUCUGUCAAAGAGAACAGCCUUCCCCAAAUAGAGAGACUGGUCUUCAGUCAAGGGUAUACACAUAGCUGCGCUGCCCUGCUAGAACCUCCAAACAAGCUCUUAAGGUCUGUGUGGUUCUUGGGCUUGAACCCAAGGCCUCAGGCACAGUGAGGUGCACAUACUGAUGCAGGGGUGGAAAACUUUUUUGCUGUUA